GGAGAGAUACCCAAGUGGUUGAAGGGGUGGGCUUGGAAAGCUCAUAGUGGCAGAAAUGCCAGCAAGAGUUCAAAUCUCUUUCUCUCCG
rnacentral:tRNA from 1 species